rnacentral:lncRNA from 1 species
UAUUUCUCACUUAUGAUUUACCUUAUGUUCCACCUUUUGUAUGUUUGGUUGCUAAGUUUGUUUUUCUGAUGAUCCAUCAUUUCUUUUCUGCAAGCCCCAACACUUUGUAUAUUCGCUAUAAAUUGUUAAGUUUAUAUGCUGAGUUAUGAAAUAAAAUUGGAUAUGUGGGAGAGAUUUACCCCUGAUAUUCUGUCACAUUUCGUUCCAACCAUUGUAACCACAUUCAAUUGCUUUUGGGAAGAUGAGAGUCUAUGGAUGUCUUUGGUUGAUGUUUUUUGCAUCUUUUGAACAUUCUUUUGCUUAAUUGUUGCCAACUUUUGGAUAAUCAAGGGGAUAAACUAAUUUUGGCAUCUUAGGUGUGGGAAGCUGCAGCUCAAGCUGUUAGGGAUGAGGAGGAAACCAAGAAGAAGCUAUGCGAUGAUCUAAAUCAGUUGGUAUAUUUGCUUUCUUUUCUUUUUUUUUUAAAAAAAAUUUUUCUUGCCAAGGUAUUCGGAACCGGUACCGUUAGGCAUACCGGUGGCUUACCGGACCGGUUCAUCGUUCUUGGUACCGUUUCGGUACCGGGCCUGUACCGAGAGCCAGAGCCGGAGACGACAAGGUGAAAAAGAGCGAGCGGGGGAGGGAGGGAGAAGAAGAGGCCUCCGCCGCCAGCGGAGGGCCGGCGGAGGCUGCGGGUCGCCUACUUCACUUAAAAAAAAUCAAUUUUUUUUCCGCGGCCGUAGCCUCCGGAGGGCCUCCCGAGGCCCUCUGAUGGCGGCGGAGGCCUCUCCUUCUCCCUCCCUCCCCCGCUUGCUCUCUCCUUCUCUUCUUCUUCCCCGACUCUUGCUGGGUUUUGUCGGCACGGGCUGUGUAUCGUUUUUCACGGCUGAACCGUACCGGUCAAGGUCCGGACCGGUACGAUACGUGCUGAACCGGCCGGUAUGGACCCGUUCAGCAUACCAUGCUCCUUGCUCAAUUUGAUGCUGAUUCAUAAUAUUUUGCUUAUUGCAUAUUGAAUAGAUCCAAGAAAGCACGACCACUCAACUUACAAGAUUGGAGGAGUUAAAAAGACGACUUACAGCUCUUAACCCUAGCAGGGGUUCCUCUGUUGUUCAUGUAAGUACUCUUCAGUGUCUUCCACUAUAACAUCCUCUCUGUCCUAUAUAGACUUCAUUAUCGCAACCUAUUUGGUUAUUGUCUCUCUAUUUUUCUGUUUUUUUAACUCUAUUUUUCUGUUUUUCUAACUCACUGUGUAUUUAAUAUGAAGUUCUUUGGCUAUUCUUUAUGGUUUAGAACUUGG